CACCGGCUACAAACAAGUUUGCUUCCUGGUUUUUGAAAGGAAGUGAAAAGCUGAUAUUUUACAACCAUUUAAAGGUUAAUUGUUUGUAUUUACCAUAAAUGACAGCGCAAGCGAUGAUCCAGCCCCUACAAUACUCUCCAGGUAGAAACUCGCAAUUCCCGUUUAAGUAUAAUUCUUCGGAAAAGGCCGAAUGCAGGCAUCAUCAAGUUCAAACCCAACAUCACAAUUAUAACAUUCGGGGUUGACGACAUCACAGCCCAGGAAGAUCGCGAAAUAGGUGCGAGAGAGAAGAUAUCUCAAAAGAGUUCAGAGAAAAGGUCUUUGAUGGGCGACUGGAUGGAUACGAAAAGAAGAUCAGAUGACAAGGACGCCCAUCUGUUGAAGAGCCAUAUCGGCUAUCAGAAAAGGAAAAGCAUUUUAUUGGACAGUAUGAGGACCCGAAGUACAAACCUGACUGUAUCAUCUGUAGUUCUAAGACGUCUCAUUGGUGGAAAAGAAAGCAAACAAACUACGAUUGUAAGCAAUGUAACAUCUCAAUGUGCUUCAUGCCAUGCCAUGAGCUCUUUGACUCACAUAAUAACUUACACCAAGCAGCAGCAAGAAUUGUGUACAACUUGUAAAUAUAAGUAGAAAAACAAACAUAAUUAUGUCGAACUAUCAAAUUGGGAAAAAACAUGUAUCAUACUUUGUGUUGUCAAUAUUGAAACUGUUGUAAAUUAAUUUUGUAGUAUUUUUAAAUGAUCAUGUCUACAUCUAAACUGUAUAUUGAUUAAGAUGUUAUAUAUAUUGAGCUGACUGAUUUUUUUCUAUGGGAGAAGUACUGAAUUUUUUAUUUUCUUGAUUGAUUUUUUGCCAUAUUUGAAGGUUGACUUAAAUGGUAUUAGCAAAAGUUAAGAAAUAAAAGUAUUGUUUUC